rnacentral:lncRNA from 1 species
AUCACUUUUUUCCUUUUUUUAGUUCAUUACUUUCUUUAAUUUUCCUUUUAUUUGAUUUGCAGUACGCUGAUGGGUCUGAUGAAUCGCUGUGCUCGUCUGCUGGUGUCGGAGCUGGUGCUGCUGGUGCCGGUGCUGCAGGCUGUGGGUCGGCCCGGCUCAGACUCGGGCCGGUUUGGGUGGACUGUGGAGGAGCUGGUCUGGGCCGGACUGCAGAACGUGGAGUAUAGUUUAUAUAGAGAGAAGAUAAGAACAUUCCCUGACAAAAGGAGAAUGAUGCUGGAGAUGAUUAGAGAGCGCAGGUCGGUGGUGCAGGAGAAUCCUCAGGUUCUGGGCGGCUGGAUCUCUCUGAUGGCGUUUGAGGAUUUGGUUGAUUUUGGUGAAUUAAUGCAGAUUAAUCCUGAAUAUCUGCUGCAGAGUUUAAUGUUCAGACUGAAGGAGAGCGAACUGUACUUUAAUAAAUCCAGCGCAGUGGAUAACACCACCCUGCAGGUCACUGAAAAGAUCUUGAGCUACGUCCUGCAGCGCACUGAGCAGGACAUUACCAGGAUCAGAGGUUUGGAGCAGUUGGUCGGUGUAUCUGAGAGCUGCAGGAAGGUUCUCAGGAUUUCCUGCAGAUUAUCCCGACAUAACCUCCCCACCUUCAGAUCCGGAGUCUCAGCCCUGCAGCUGCUGCUGAAACUGACCUCAGAUCAGUAUGAAGCUCUUUCAGAGGGCAGAGAGGAGAAAGAUCAGGAGAAAUCCCGCCUCCUCUCUCAGCUGGAGAUCCUGCAGAAGGAGAUCAGUGAUUGGAGGGAUGGGUUUCUUCGCAAGCCUCUGUUCCACCAAUCAGCAUUCACAUACCCUCAAGAAAUAGAGCUGUGGGAUUCUCUCUUCAGACUGAAGUGUUCGAUCCCGAGCUUCACGGAUCGCUGGAUCAGCGGUUUGGAGACGGAUUUAAAGAAGAGGAUCUCUGAGCUCAGCGAUGUGCAGAAGAUACAGGUGAACUGUGUGGAAGCUUCAGCCUCGGCUAUCGCAAAAACUCAUAACUCCAUUCAGACCUGCUUCAGAGAACUCUGUCUGUCUGCUGUUACAAACACAUGCCAGGUAAAAAUCAUACUUUAAUAUAUAUAUAAUAGUUAAUAAGCGUUUAAAUAACACAAUUAUUCAAAUUAUAUAAACAUACACAGUAAAUGAAUAGAGAAGUGAUCUAUCAGAU